GAUGAACGCUGGCGGCGUGCCUAAUACAUGCAAGUCGAGCGGACCAAAGAGAGCUUGCUCUCUGAGGUUAGCGGCGGACGGGUGAGUAACACGUGAGUAACCUGCCUGUAAGACGGGGAUAACUUCGGGAAACCGAAGCUAAUACCGGAUGAUAAAGAGAAACGCCUGUUUCUUUUUUGAAAGUCGGCCUUGUGCUGACGCUUACAGAUGGGCCCGCGGCGCAUUAGCUAGUUGGUGAGGUAACGGCUCACCAAGGCAACGAUGCGUAGCCGACCUGAGAGGGUGAUCGGCCACACUGGGACUGAGACACGGCCCAGACUCCUACGGGAGGCAGCAGUAGGGAAUCUUCGGCAAUGGACGAAAGUCUGACCGAGCAACGCCGCGUGAGCGAUGAAGGCCUUCGGGUCGUAAAGCUCUGUUGUCAGAGAAGAACAAGUACCGGAGUAACUGCCGGUACCUUGACGGUACCUGACCAGAAAGCCACGGCUAACUACGUGCCAGCCGCCGCGGUAACAC
rnacentral:rRNA from 1 species